GACGCUCUCCCCAAGGACGAAGCCAUGCAUGCCCGCUCACCCGGGACGCGGCGGACGGCUCAGGACGACGGUUGCACCCCCCGCGGCGGUCCCUGCUAGCCGGACACCGCUGGCAACCCGGCGCCAAGACGUGCGCGCAAGGGCGGGCGCCCGCGGGCGAGCAGCGUGACGCAG
rnacentral:rRNA from 2 species